rnacentral:rRNA from 1 species
CCUACGGGUGGCAGCAGUGAGGACUAUUGGUCAUGGGCGCGAGCCUGAACCAGCCCAGUAGCGUGAAGGAUGACUGCCCUACGGGUUGUAAACUUCUUUUAUAAAGUAAUAAAGUGAUGCACGUGUGCCUUUUUGUAUGUACUUUAUGAAUACGGAUCGGCUAACUACGAGACAGCAGCCGCGGUAAUACGUAUGAUCCGAACGUUAUACGGAUUUUUUGUGUAUAAUGGGGGCUUAGGUGUAUUGUUAAGUCAGUUGUGAAAGUUUGCGUCUCAAGCAUAACAUUGCAGUUGACACUGGUAGUAUGGAGUACAGUAGAGGUGGGCGGAAUUCGUGGUGUAGCGGGGAAAUGCUUAGAUAUCACGAAGAACUCCGAUGGCGAAGGCAGCUCACUGGACUGCAACUGACACUGAGGCUCGAAAGUGUGGGUAUCAAACAGGAGUAGAUACCCCUGUAGGC